UGGGGAAUAUUGCACAAUGGGCGCAAGCCUGAUGCAGCCAUGCCGCGUGUGUGAAGAAGGCCUUCGGGUUGUAAAGCACUUUCAGCGAGGAGGAAGGUGGUGAACUUAAUACGUUCAUCAAUUGACGUUACUCGCAGAAGAAGCACCGGCUAACUCCGUGCCAGCAGCCGCGGUAAUACGGGAGGGUGCAAGCGUUAAUCGGAAUUACUGGGCGUAAAGCGCACGCAGGCGGUUUGUUAAGUCAGAUGUGAAAUCCCCGGGCUCAACCUGGGAACUGCAUUUGAAACUGGCAAGCUAGAGUCUCGUAGAGGGGGGUAGAAUUCCAGGUGUAGCGGUGAAAUGCGUAGAGAUCUGGAGGAAUACCGGUGGCGAAGGCGGCCCCCUGGACGAAGACUGACGCUCAGGUGCGAAAGCGUGGGGAGCAAACAGGAUUAGAUACCCUGGUAGUCCACGCUGUAAAACGAUGUCGAUUUUGGAGGUUGUGCCCUUGAGGCGUGGCUUCCGGAGCUAACGCGUUAAAUCGACCGCCUGGGGAGUACGGCCGCAAGGUUAAAACUCAAAUGAAUUGACGGGGUCAUAGCUGUUUCCU
rnacentral:rRNA from 1 species